GUCUGACCUCAGGUGAAAGAUCUCUGGAUAAGCAACCAGAUUCGGUUUGGACAAUGGUUACGUUUGUAGAUUUGCACUGAGAUGGUCGACCACAUUUGUGACUUCAGACCAUGAGGCCAAAGAGUUGUCUUUGCAGAGUCAGGGGGAAAAAUAAUUCCUAUCCUGUGUAAACACAAAUGCAGUAGGGUGGACCAGAUUCUGCUGACUCUGAACAAGCUUUCAACAAUCAAAUGCUUUUUUUAAUUAUUAUUUUUUGCUGUCUCCAUAUGCAAAAUCAGACUUGGAAGUAGCCAACAAUGAUAUCAUCUCCAGGAGAUCAGAGCUGAAAUGAAGCAUCUCCUCAAAAUCUCCGUCAUUGGCCAGGAAUUGAGGAUCAACGCUACAGGAUCCAAUCUGGGCUGGUCAGAUUGAUCAGUGUGUUCUGGGUGUAUGUAUACUGAGGAACAGGGAGACAUAGUGGUACAUGUGAA